rnacentral:rRNA from 1 species
CAGUCGCCGCGGGAAUACGGAGGGUGCGAGCGUUAAUCGGAAUUACUGGGCGUAAAGCGUACGCAGGGGGUUUGUUAAGUCAGAUGUGAAAUCCCCGAGCUUAACUUGGGAACUGCAUUUGAAACUGGCAGGCUAGAGUCUCGUAGAGGGGGGUAGAAUUCCAGGUGUAGCGGUGAAAUGCGUAGAGAUCUGGAGGAAUACCGGUGGCGAAGGCGGCCCCCUGGACGAAGACUGACGCUCAGGUACGAAAGCGUGGGGAGCAAACAGGAUUAGAUACCCCUGUAGUCCCUGUCUCUUAUAA